rnacentral:misc_RNA from 1 species
GCAAACUUGGUCAUUUAGAGGAAGUAAAAGUCGUAACAAGGUUUCCGUAGGUGAACCUGCGGAAGGAUCAUUAUCGUGGGGCUCCGGCCCUUGCGAGAUAGAACCCUUGCCUUUUGAGUACCGUCCGUUUCCUCGGCAGGGCGACCUGCCAAUGGGGACCACAACAAACCCUUUGUAAUAGCAGUAAAUUGUCUGAUCAAACAAGCAAAAGUUACAACUUUCAACAAUGGAUCUCUUGGCUCUGGCAUCGAUGAAGAACGCAGC